rnacentral:rRNA from 1 species
UACAGAGGGUGCGAGCGUUAAUCGGAAUUACUGGGCGUAAAGCGUGCGUAGACGGCUAUCUAAGUCGGGUGUGAAAGCCCCGGGCUCAACCUGGGAAGUGCACUCGAUACUGCGGAGCUUGAGUGUCGGAGAGGUUGGUGGAAUUCUCGGUGUAGAGGUGAAAUUCGUAGAUAUUCGCAAGAACACCAGUGGCGAAGGCGGCUCACUGGCCCGAUACUGACGCUGAGGCACGAAAGCGUGGGGAGCAAACAGG